GGGUCAAAAAUGGCGUGGCACUGUUUUUCUUUCUAUGGACUUGGGCCUAUCCAUGAAAUAAAGGAAGUUAUGGAUCGGUUUGUUUACAAAGAUGUAUUGGACAUCACGUUGUUCCCUUACGCUGAGUAAAACAUUCGGCUCAUUUGAGUGUUUCAGCAUGACAAUGAUCCCAAACUUGCAUAAAAACUUGUCAAAUAUUGGUUGCGGGAGUCAAAAAUUGAUGUUUUGUCAUGGCCGGCACAAUCACUUGGCCUAAACUCCAUAGAAAACCUUUGGAGUAUCGUAGAUAGGAAGAUCAAGCGAGAUUCGGAAACAAAUAAGCACAACAUUAUUUAAAGAAUCGGGGUGCCUGGGAGAGCAUACCACAGGAUCAAAUUGAGCGUGUUAUAGAUUCAAUGCCUCGUAGUGCCUCGUAGUGUGCAGCUGCUAUCAAAAAUAAUGGAUCCUAUCGACUACUAGCCAAAAUUUAAUUAUUUUAAAAUAAAAAAUCAAAAAGUUGCUUUAGUUUUGACCAAGCAAAAAUUGGGUCAUUUUAGUUUUCGAUAUAUUAUUUUUCGUUCAAAAUUAUUUUUGUAUUUUUAUUUUUAGUUUCUUUAAAGUGAAUUAAAGACCUCAUUUAAAAGUGGAAAAAUAAUUACGAUUUGUUUAUUUUUGUAAACGAUACAGGACAUUUAUUGUCUUUGCGAUUUUAGUUGCUUUAGUUUUGGCCACCAGUGUAUAUAUAUAUAUAUAUUAUGGGGUCUACAACGAAUGUUUAGGAAUGUUACAAACGGAAUGGCAAAGUUAAUAUACCCUUAUUACCUAGGUGGAGGGUAUAAAAAGGGUAUAUUUCUUUUAAUUUAAAAAAGCUCAAAAGGCAAAAAAGGUAAGCCUUAAAACAUUUGUUCCUCCAGAGCUGGAUGAAAAAGUGAAGUUCCUUAAUUAUUAAGAACAAAAACAUUUUUUUGUGAGUGGACAGAUAGACACAUGGACAGUACGAGCAAGUAAAAAAAGUAUAAAUUCAUCCCGGCCGAACUUUGAAUACCCUCCACCGUUUGAAACGAAUUUGGCAAUUUUCAAAACAAUAAAAUCCAUUAAAAACUCUGUUAAAAUCUUAAAAAUACCGAAUGUAGCCGUUAUAUUAGGGUCUAUACGACGACGUGGACCUGCAUAGAAAACUUUUUCCAUAAACCAUUACAAUAUUCAAAUGCGAAACUUGAAUAAAAACAUUCGGCGAAUAACGUCAUACGUUUUAGUAUCUGUUACGAACUUAAAAUACCAAAUUUGAAACAAUUCCGGCGAAUAAUGUCGCGAAAAUCCUCAAAAUACCGAAUAAAGGGGGGUACCGUUAUAUGGGGGCUAUACGAAGACGUGGACCUGAACAGACAAUUUGUCUGUCGUAACACCCAUAUAACGGCACUCCCUAUAUUCGGUAUUUUGAUAAUUUUAGCUACAUUAUAAACAGAUCUUUUUUCAAGUUUCGCAUUUGAAUAUUGUAAUAGCUGAUGACAAAAGUUGCCUAUGCAGGUCAACGUCGUCGUAUAGACCCUAAUAUACGGCUACAUUAUGUAUUUUUAUUUCAUAUUGUAUUUUUUUGAAAAUUGCCAAAUUUGUACCAAAUGGUGGAGGGUAUUCAAAGAUCGGUCCAACUUUUUUACUUGUUUACAGAAUUUUUAACGGAUUUAAUUUUUUGAAAAUUGCCAAAUUCGUUCCAAACGGUGGAGGGUAUUCAAAGUUCUGCCCGGUCGAAUUUACAGUUUUUAUACGCUCCACCAUAGUAUGUAGGGUAUAUUAAUUUGUCAUUCCGUUUGUAACACUUCGAAAUAUACAUUUAAGACCCCACAAAGUAUAUACAUUCUUGAUCAGAAUAAAGUUCUAAGUCGAUUUAGCGAUGUCCGUCCGCCUGUGGAAAUCACUCUAGGUUCCGAACGAAAUGAAGUAGGUUGAUAAAAUUUUGCUCAAAUGUUUAUUAUGUCUGCAGGGCCUUUGGUAUUGAAAGUGUGUCAUGUAGGUCCACGUUUUGGUAUAAGGCCCAUAUAAUGGUACAUCACUUCUUUCGGUAUAUUGCUGAUUUAAGCGACAUUAUUUACCGGAAUUUUGGUAUUUGAAGUUCGUAAUGGGUACUACAGCCUAUGACAGAAAAUUGUCUGUACAGAUCCACGUCUUCAUAUAACCCCCAUAUAACGGUACCUCCCGAUAUUCGGUACUUUGAUCAAUUUAGCGACAUUAUUCACCGAAAUUGUUUCAAAUUUGGUGUUUGAGUUGCGUAAUUAAUACUACAGCCUAAAAUAUAAUAUUGUCUGUGCAGGUCCACGUCUUCGUAUAACCCCCAUAUAACGGUACCUCCCGAUAUUCGGUAUUUUGAUGAUUUUGGCUACAUUAUCCACCGAUUUCUUUUUCAAGUUUCGCAUUUGAAUAUUUUAAUGGUUUAUGACAAAAUUUGUCUUUGCAGGUCAACGUCGUCGUAUAGACCCUAAUAUAACGGCUACAUUCGGUAUUGUUAAUUUUUUUUUUACUUGUUUUUAUUAUAAUUUUAACAUUUUACAAUUUAGCACAAUAUCUAUUGCUCUAAAGAGCUUAUAUCUUUUCUGGACCCAAGGUUAAUUUCUGGAAUUUUUCGGAGAAAUAUUUUGCUUUUAUUGUCUAGCUUUGCGAUUCAAAGCAUUUCGACUCUUUUUUGUCAUUUUUUCACCCUUUUAAAUCCCGUUUUAAAAAAUAUUUGUAUUCUGACCUAGAUUGUUAUAUUCUUUUGUAAUUUUUUCCUGGGACUUUACUACUUUUGAAUAUUUUUGCUUAAAUGUUUUGACACAAAUCAAGUCCUUUUGAAAAGUUUUGUUCAAUAAUUUGGAUUUUUGACCCUUUUUUGUGAGAUAGUUUUGCCAUAAUACUUAGUUUCUUACAUAAAUUAUUUUCUCUAACUCUCGUUGCAAAUUUGAUCAAUAAUUUGUCAUAUUUAGAAAAUUUGUUGAACCUAACAAAUUUCCACAUCAAUAAUCAAAGAAAGUUAUUGGCUUUUGAAAACUAAAAUCUUCCUGUCGUAUGAUAUUAACUGAUUUUGACUUACUGAAAGUCCAGCAAGUGGACUUUGAGUGAUUUUAUUUCUUUUGGGUUAUUUUGUCAAAAAGUUGACCCCUUCUGGCAACCCAGCAAACAUUUUUAAUCAAAUCUGUCCUGCGUCAAAUACAAGGUAACUUUUUUUGUCUGGGAUAUUAUCCCCAGGAGUUAUUUAAACAAUAGCUCUUAUGACAAAAAACUUUUUUUACCCAAGUGACGAGAUCGUAAGCUCAAUUGACGAGGAACCAAAGAAUUACAUACAACUAAAAUUCUUUUGGAAAAUCUUUUAAAUCUUACAACCGCACUUAUAAACAUUUGCAUCCUUCUUCACUUGUUAUGCUUUCGUUUUUCAUGAACGAAGUAGCAAAACCAUGUAAGUUGGCUUUGUCUGUUACAACAAAAACCUCUUCGUCGACCGUGCCUUGUCUAUUAAUAGAAAAGUGUUGGCUUGUUUGUUCGGGAUAUCAUAGUAUUUUGUUGUUGCAAAUGAUUAGGCUUAACCCCUUUAUUGUUGUUUUUAUAAAAACAACGUUUGUUUAUUAGUGGAGAACUAUGAUAAUGUUCGUUUUUUGUCUGGGAUACUCUCCCCAGGAGUUAUUUAAAAAAUAUAUUCUAUGACAAAAAAAAAUGAUUACCCAAGUGACGAGAUCGUGAGCUCAAUGGAAGAGGAACCAAAGAAUUACAUAGAACUAAAAUUCCAUUGGAAAAUCUUCUAAAUCUUACAACCGCACUUAUAAAAAUGUCUAUCUUUCUCCAAUUAUGCUUUUGUUUCACAUGAACGAAGUAGCAUAACCAUGUAAGUUGGUUUUUCCGUUACAACAAAAACGCCUUCGUCGACCGUACCUUGUCCAUUAAAAGAACAGUGUUGGCUUGUUUGUUCGGGAUACAAUAGUAUUUUGUUGUUGCAAAAUGAUCAGGCUUAAUCCCUUUAUUGUUGUUUUUAUAUGUCGAUUUAGCGAUGUUCGCCCGCCCGUUAUCGGAAGCAUAGCUGAAUGCUACCGGACGCGUCCACAGAUUGCGGAUAGUGGAACACCCAAUAGAUAUAUUGGGCAGCUGUGAAUAAAUAAGCAGUCGCGGACAAUUCAGCGGUACCGGGGGGAUAGUCUCGGAACAAAUAUGUGUUCCUCGGUUUGCAGACAGGGACGUCAUCCAUGACAGCAUUCACAAGCACAGUAAACAAUUUUCCGCUCUCCUGGAAAAGACAAAAACGCUCAGUCAGGAAAGUGUUCCUUCUGGCUUCGGAAAUGACUCACCACUCUCUGAUAAGGAACUUGACAUCACGGUCAUUUCCUCGUCUCAAAGUGGUAAGUCAUUUCAAAAAGCCGCUAAGAACACCCCUAACGAGACUUGUGCAGAGUCACAAAUCCAGGAAGGAUAAUCGUCGGUCACUUCCGAUGUCUUAAGCCUCGAUCGGCAAGACGCCAUCAACGUAGGUGCUGACAGGAAUCCUACCAGCAACCCUAUCUCUCACGAAGGCGCCGACUCGAAGCAGGCGAAAGCAAGGCGGGGCUAUAAAAUGUCGGUAAAUACUGCAAGAAAUUUAUCGGCCAGGACCUCGAGAGAGAGAGUAUUCUGAUUAAGAUGAACCUCAAAGUAAUUGCAAUGUUCGAAAAGAACCAUCCGCAUUUACCAAGCUGUCUCUUAAUCAGGCUCUUUAGCUUUCCUACCAUCUGCUAUCAAUAGCAGGGUAGACCAACCUCUGUUAAGGGCCCUGUGAAGGUCAGUAAAUCUACCACCGACAACACGACCACUCAGGUUGAUGUUCACGCGGUGGUGGUUAAUGCCGACCCCGCGGGGUAAAACCCGUAAGGUAUUGACAGCUUGGGUGCCACUACCAUCUGUGGAUCCGGCACGCAUCCUGACAAUACUGGGCAAGCAAAACCCCAACCUCAGAACAGACAACUGGCGUCUUGUCAGUUCAAGCACUGAGGGAGGUGGCCUGGUCAUCAAGGUAUCUAUGGAAACGGGUUGUCUGGAGUACCUUCAAGCUCGUGGGGGAAACUUGCAUUUCGGCGCCGGUUGGAUCCGUUUCCGGCUAAGGCCGUUGCAUUAGCAGGAAGGAAAAAGAAGCUACUUAGCAUCAUGCAGAUUAAUCUGAAUCACUGCAAAGCAGCUGCUGCCGAACUCCUCCUAUCCCUCACGAAAGCUGAAGUAGACAUAGCCUUAAUUCAGGAACCCUAUAUAUACAAUAAUAGGGUACUGGAUUAGGGAGUGGGCAGUACGUCUCUUACCCGGUCUCCAAUGGUGAUAAGCAACUACAGUGGAGGAGACGUUACGGUGGCGGGAAUGGAAUCUGAAUCUAAAUCUAAGCGACCUGACCCACCUAGUCACGAAAUAGAGGAGCUGCUUAAAGAUCUGGCUGACAAAGGGCAUCUAGUUAUGGGUUGUGAUGCAACGCACACCACUUCCAAUAGGGCAGCAACGAUACCAAUGUCAGAGAUGUGGCCGCCUACUUGCCAAAUCAAGACUGCUGUUUAGAAGAUCGCAGCCGUAUCCCGAACUCACCUGUCCGUUCAAAAGCAAAAGCAAAAAUAGACCCAUCGUUCCAUUUCCACAUCCCCGAAGGGCGGCAGAGAAGUCGAUCCGACGACUAUGCCAAGAAGACCAUGCCCUCAGUGACUGUGAGAGGUUCUACAGGCAGACGCCCUUCCAGCAUGUGACACAGUGGAGCAAAUUGGACAUCAAUUAGUUAGAAUUUUAAACGCGAUCGCAAGUUUCAAGUUGAAUUAUAUAUUAAAACUUAAACUCUAGUGAAAUAAUACUGAAGUGCCUACUUACCUAAAUAAAACUUAUGAACUAUUGAAUUAAAAUUUGAGAACUAGUAAAUAACAAACUUAAAGAUUUUUAUUCAGUAGCUCUAGAGUCUGAAAUUAUUGGUGUACUUACCGAUACACAUAAUAGCAAAAUAAGCCCACUUUUACUGUAUCCUCAUCAAUUUAGAAAGAAUAAACUAACGUUUUCAAGGCUAAUCUUCCAAUUUCGCAUGUUUUGCCAGCGGACGAUGAGAACUUGAUUGAGCUCUAUAAACUUAUGAGCGUCAAGGUUGCAGUGACAAAACAUGAAGUCAUCUUCGAGGUCAAGAUACCCUCAGUCAAUCAACAGUUCUUUGAACUGUCCAAACUCCGAAGGAACGCAGUCUCUAACCCCAGUGGAGUCAAUAUAUUUAAUAAUCAACCAAUUGCAACCUCAACAGGAUUAUUGGAUCUACAGUUUGGACCCAAUUGCAUCAUCAAAAUAUAUGGAUUUUCGCUACUACUGUCGAUGUUGAAUCUUCUAUUGUAUGCGGUACGGAGACAAAUCUUAUCAUCAUCAAAAAUGCCGGAAUAAUGAAGAUGGGUUCCAACUGUGCCAUGAAGAACGAUUUUGUCAUCAUAGAUUAAAAGACAUCCAUUCUAUAAGUCCACUACAGGGAAUAGAAAAGUUGAAUGAAUCAACUCUUAAGCAUUUGCCACAAUUUAUCCACUCCACCAGUCUUCACCAUCAUGCAGUUAGCUACACCUCAUUAUGUUGCUGCAUUAUUGUUGUGCUUGGUCUGCUGAGUUGGAGAAUGCAUUCAAGGUAAACAACCCAGCUCAAUGUACACCUACUCCAGCUGUAAGAACUCACAAAUCAGCGACAAAUGGCUUCGUUUCUGCUACAUUUACUACUUGAACGCUGUCAACGCGGCGGAGAAUGUUAAAACAUACGUAUUUACAUAUAUAUUCAACAUACAUAUUUAUAUGUAAGUUGUGAUAUAUUUACAGUUUUUUUUUCUAGUUUUUCAAGUAGUUAAUUCAGCAUUUUUAUGUACCUCAUUUAUUAACGUAACAGUAAAUCAUUUUAUCCUUAUAUCUUAUUUAGGUUCAUUUCUUCACUUUUGUAUGAAUAAUAUUUGACCUAGUUUUACUUUAUGCAAUUCAUCAAUUAUGCUAAGAACUUAUUUGUAUACAAUAAUGAACAUAAUAAAAAGAGUUUUUGUCAGUUGUCUUCCAUGAAGCGACCAGAAACAAUUUGUGUUUAAUUUCUAAAAACGUCUUUCCUUCAAGUUUAUGUGCUUGCAAGGAGAUUUUAAAGGACUAUAAGUGUCAGUUCAAAUUUAAGUGUUUGAACUGAAUUCCACUAGAUCUGAGUUUUCUUAACUGGUCUAAAACCGCAAAAAAUGAGGAACUAGUCUUCGAUGUCCGUUAAACUUAGUCGUAGAAUUAUUUAAAAGCGCAAUUAGCUUUAAUAAUUUUCACACUUAUUAUGUAAGUGAAUCGUACUAUCUACAACCUAAAAUGUAAGCAAAUUGUCUCAAAUGUAGUUAUUGUUUGCAGGAAAAUAGACGAACAAUUCAAAAUGAUCAGGAGAAUUGCACAA